rnacentral:snoRNA from 1 species
UCAUCGUGAUGAGACACAUUUUUCAGUUCUGCUUCUGCAAAAUUUUUGAAGAUAACAAAAUACCUUACCAAAACUUUCUGAGAC